rnacentral:lncRNA from 1 species
AGGUAUGGAGACACACAAGAAGAGAGAAACUAAGAGACUUCACGGAAAAAUUGAAUGGACGAGUACAGCAGUCUUCUGAGUCAUUGCCUAUAACAGAUCACAUGGAAGCAUCAGAAUAAUCCUUAGGGCAGGGAAGUCCAAUCGAUUGACCCAGACUCAGUUUUGAGUAUGCAGCUGCUGGCAGGUAGAAAUUGAGCACCAUGACAAUUAAAACAAAAAUAUUACUUAGCUGUUGCUAAAAGAAGAAAAAAAGAAAGAAAAAAAUUCCAGCCACUCCCCUAGAACAUCUCACAAAAUGAGCCAUUCCAAAAAACUAAAGCUAAGGACAAUAUGGAUAAGUUUCUGUAAAAUCUAAAUUGAGAAGUUAGACAUAUCCAACAGGACUUGGAGAGGCCUGCCCUGCCCCGCAAGCAGGAGAGAGCAGAAGAGAGUCCCUGGGAGAAUCUGAUAUAUGUCCCUGGAGUCUGGGGGGACAGAGACUGAUAUCUGAGUCUUGCCUGGAAAGAUCUGUGAGAAGAGGCCUGCCCAGGCCACCUCUGUUGGCAAAGUGAGGAGAGAGAGCAGCUGAGAGACUGAGCCUCACUUGGUUUGCUGGGGAAAGAAC